rnacentral:rRNA from 1 species
CUACGGGGGGCAGCAGUGAGGAAUUUUGCGCAAUGGGGGCAACCCUGACGCAGCAACGCCGCGUGAGUGAAGAAGGCCUUUGGGUCGUAAAGCUCUGUCGAUAGGGAAGAAGUUAUCAAUGUUUAAUAGAUGUUGGUAUUGACGGUACCUGUAGAGGAAGCACCGGCUAACUCCGUGCCAGCAGCCGCGGUAAUACGGGGGGUGCAAGCGUUAUUCGGAAUUAUUGGGCGUAAAGGGCGCGUAGGCGGUCUUGUCGGUCAGAUGUGAAAGCCCGGGGCUCAACCCCGGACGUGCAUUUGAAACAGCAAGACUUGAGUACGGGAGAGGAAAGCGGAAUUCCUGGUGUAGAGGUGAAAUUCGUAGAUAUCAGGAGGAACACCGAUGGCGAAGGCAGCUUUCUGGACCGAUACUGACGCUGAGGCGCGAAGGCGUGGGUAGCGAACGGGAUUAGAUACCCCAGUAGUC